UACGUAGGGUGCAAGCGUUAAUCGGAAUUACUGGGCGUAAAGCGUGCGCAGGCGGUUAUGUAAGACAGAUGUGAAAUGCCCGGGCUUAACCUGGGAACUGCAUUUGUGACUGCAUGGCUAGAGUUUGGCAGAGGGGGGUAGAAUUCCACGUGUAGCAGUGAAAUGCGUAGAUAUGUGGAGGAACACCGAUGGCGAAGGCAGCCCCCUGGGUCAAGACUGACGCUCAUGCACGAAAGCGUGGGGAGCAAACAGGAUUAGAAACCCGUGGU
rnacentral:rRNA from 1 species